CUUGGCUCUUUUAAGAAAACUGUGGAAUGCCUUGUUUUCAUCAUGAGUCUUGACAUGCUUCACAAUAUGAUCCUCAGACAAACAAAUGUGUACAAAAGUGCACAAUACAGUCAAAUAAUGAAGAGCCUCCGCGUUAAUCAAACAACGCCCUCCAAUUAUGAUUGGUAUAUAUAGGCGAUUGAGGGAAGAGCAAAGGUGGUGGAUCUAUUGUCUGACAUGAUUCUUCGUGUGAGGGUGUCAAUACCCUGAAUCUCCUGUUUCGUCCAAUCAACAGCACCAAAAGAAUACGCAUAAGUAUUUGUGGCUUUGACUUUAUUGCGGGCGUUCGACACUGAACACCAGAUUUUCUUUAGUCUACAUACAUGUAUGUACUCUGCCCGAAGUUUGUCCUUGAUAUGGACAUUCUGGAGUUUGUCCCUAACCUGCAUUCCGAGGUACGUAUAGGCCUGACCUUCCAAGAGAUGGUUAGUAACUCCUCUCCUAAGUAAACUGACUGAUCCUUCCUCUUCUACGUUGCCACGUUUCACAUGAAGAAUGGUGCAUUUGUCGAAUCCAAAGGACAUCCCAAUAUCAUAAGAAAAGGACUCGACAAGGAGAAUUUGUUUUUUCAAUGUGGAUCCUGCACUGGCAAUAAGUUCAAGGUCAUCCAUGUAAAGGAGAAAUAUAUGACUGCGAUGCUGCGGUAAAGUAGCCAACAGCAGCUCUAACCAAGCUUUGGGGAUUUACGGUUGGGCUACAAUUUCGUCUCGAGGGACGAAUCAUGGAUAAUACGAUUAAAUAUUCAUGGAGUUUAUCAGAAUCUUUUAUCUGUUUGUGCAUAAUCCCGCGAAGUUCCAUCCGCAGGCAUUGUUGUUAUAGUCCCUAGCGCAGCCAUGUUGCCAACCAGAAGCAAGAAGUAGCACUUCAUCGUGGCAUCUCCCAGUUGUAUCAUGUUGAGAACUGCGCUCGAGCGCAGCGAGGUGAGACCAGUUUACGAUCUUCGUGAUAUGAAAGAUUCUAUUACGACAAGUCGUCAAUGAAUCCUUGAACUUGGGUUGGAAUUAUCGACUAGUAUGGAUGUGAUCACGUCUUUGUCAUCAAGGGAACUUGACUUAAUACGCGUGAGAAUGGAAAUGUGUACAUCGAAUUGCAGUCUAGAGGAGAGGAGAAUGUUAAAUCACUUCGGUGGAGUGUUUGCAUUCAAAUAUUCUCCUACAAAUAGAUCAAAGACCAUUUGAAAUAUGCUCAGAGCUGCCUAAGUAGACUCUGACUUUUAUGUUUUCCAAUCUCUCGGAUACAUGUGAACGACCAUAGUACUUAUGCAGAGGUUCAAUGCAUGACGUUAGCUUGUGUGCUGGGUAGCGUCAUCAGCUUGCGUGACAGAUGCUAACGUCUUCCUUUAAACACGCUGCUAUAGUAUUACUCCUACAAUAAAGCGACACAACCAUUUCUAUUUCCAUAAAACAUUGUCUGAUUUGUCCAUUGUACCAUUCCGACUAUGAGAUGAGGAUGUGUUUAUGAAUCACUGUCAAAUAGUGAUGGUACCAGGUGUUCGCGAAAAAAAACUAUUGACGUACAUGUAGAUAUGUUUUUCUAUGUAAAAUUAUUUCGUGCGUUUUCACUGGUAAAAAAAACACAAAAAAACAUUAAUACAAUCCAUAAGAAUGGAUGUAAGAUGGUGAGAUAUAUAUCAAAUACAUGCAUCUUGUUAAUGAAUGCCUUGAAUCCAGACCGCCUCCGUGGUCUUGUGGUAGAGCGUCCGCCCGGAGAGCGGAAGGUCCGGGGUUCGAUCCCGGGCCGCGUCAUACCA